UCGAAACCUGCACAGCAGAACGACCCGCGAACCCGUUUAUCAAACCCCGCUGGGGCGGGGCACGCCUCGUCCCCUCGGAGCCGGAACGCGCCUUUCCCCCUCUCCCCUUGUGAACAAGGGCGUUGGGCGGGCACGUGCCGGCAAGAACCCAAACACCGGCGCGGGUUGCGCCAAGGACUAUGAAUUCUAUCGCUUCCCCCGGCCCCCGGGCAACCGGGUGCCGCGGCGAAGGCGUGUCGAAAAUUAAACAGAACGACUCUCGGCAACGGAUAUCUCGGCUCUCGCAUCGAUGAAGAACGUAGCGAAAUGCGAUACUUGGUGUGAAUUGCAGAAUCCCGUGAACCAUCGAGUCUUUGAACGCAAGUUGCGCCCGAAGCCAUUCGGCCGAGGGCACGUCUGCCUGGGCGUCACGCAUCGCGUCGCCCCCUCCCCCUCCUCGGAGCGGAGAGAGGGGCGGAGUAUGGCCCCCCGUGCGCCCCCGCGCGCGGCCGGCCCAAACACGGAGCCCGUGGCCGCGAAUGCCGCGACGUUUGGUGGUUGAACUUAAGCAUCGCGUCGCGUGCCCGAGCGGACACGUCGAGAGCUCGCAGGACCCUUAGGCGCCGGCCUACCCUUGCGACCYC
rnacentral:rRNA from 1 species